GGAGAAUCUGAGACUUCUGAAGAGUUUCUUGCUUCUUUCCUGUGGGGCAGUGACUCCACUUCCCAGCAGUAAUGGAAUAUCCUGAAUUAGCUACAUUAAUGUUAGAACCAUUUGGACCUCACCCAGGACUUCAACUACAUUGUGGUUCUAGUAUGUUAGGUUUAUGUUCCCCUGCUUUCUACAAUCCUGUUCAAAGAGUUGCUGACUUAACCACAGAGAGAAUUCCAGAACAUGAGACACAGAAUAAACUUGAACAAUCAUAGUCCAUCCACUUCAUUUUCUCAUCGAAAACCAAAGGUCCAGUGAGGCUCUGGAACUCGACGCUGUAAAGGAGCGAAGGAGCAUCUAUACAGAACCUGGAUGCCUGUCUCCUUAUCCUACUUCAGCGGACUUGACUGCAAUCCGGAUUAUGCUGUUUUCUAAGCAUUUAAAAUAAAAUAAAAAGUGUAA
rnacentral:antisense_RNA from 1 species